AGUGAACGCUGGCGGUAGGCCUAACACAUGCAAGUCGAACGGCAGCACAGUAAGAGCUUGCUCUUACGGGUGGCGAGUGGCGGACGGGUGAGGAAUACAUCGGAAUCUACUUUUUCGUGGGGGAUAACGUAGGGAAACUUACGCUAAUACCGCAUACGACCUACGGGUGAAAGCAGGGGAUCUUCGGACCUUGCGCGAUUGAAUGAGCCGAUGUCGGAUUAGCUAGUUGGCGGGGUAAAGGCCCACCAAGGCGACGAUCCGUAGCUGGUCUGAGAGGAUGGUCAGCCACACUGGAACUGGGACACGGUCCAUACUCCUACGGGAGGCAGCAGUGGGGAAUAUUGGACAGUGGGCGCAAGCCUGAUCCAGCCAUCCCGCGUGGGUGAAGAAGGCCUUCGGGUUGUAAAGCCCUUUUGUUGGGAAAGAAAAGCAGCAGGUUAAUACCCCGCUGUUCUGACGGUACCCAAAGAAUAAGCACCGGCUAACUUCGUG
rnacentral:rRNA from 1 species